rnacentral:rRNA from 1 species
GAUGAACGCUGGCGGCGUGCCUAAUACAUGCAAGUCGAGCGAACGGACGAGAAGCUUGCUUUUCUGAUGUUAGCGGCGGACGGGUGAGUAACACGUGGAUAACCUACCUAUAAGACUGGGAUAACUUCGGGAAACCGGAGCUAAUACCGGAUAAUAUUUUGAACCGCAUGGUUCAAAAGUGAAAGACGGUCUUGCUGUCACUUAUAGAUGGAUCCGCGCUGCAUUAGCUAGUUGGUAAGGUAACGGCUUACCAAGGCAACGAUGCAUAGCCGACCUGAGAGGGUGAUCGGCCACACUGGAACUGAGACACGGUCCAGACUCCUACGGGAGGCAGCAGUAGGGAAUCUUCCGCAAUGGGCGAAAGCCUGACGGAGCAACGCCGCGUGAGUGAUGGAGGUCUUCGGAUCGUAAAACUCUGUUAUUAGGGAAGAACAUAUGUGUAAGUAACUGUGCACAUCUUGACGGUACCUAAUCAGAAAGCCACGGCUAACUACGUG